rnacentral:rRNA from 1 species
AUUGAACGCUGGCGGCAUGCUUUACACAUGCAAGUCGAACGGUAACAGGGAGCUUGCUCCGCUGACGAGUGGCGAACGGGUGAGUAAUGCGUCGGAACGUGCCGAGUAGUGGGGGAUAACGCAUCGAAAGGUGUGCUAAUACCGCAUACGUACUGAGGUAGAAAGUGGGGGACCUUCGGGCCUCACGCUAUUCGAGCGGCCGACGUCUGAUUAGCUAGUGGGUGAGGGAAAGGCUCACCAAGGCGACGAUCAGUAGCGGGUCUGAGAGGAUGAUCCGCCACACUGGGACUGAGACACGGCCCAGACUCCUACGGGAGGCAGCAGUGGGGAAUUUUGGACAAUGGGCGCAAGCCUGAUCCAGCCAUGCCGCGUGUCUGAAGAAGGCCUUCGGGUUGUAAAGGACUUUUGUCCGGGAGCAAAUGCCUGGUGUUAAUAGCACUGGGAGCUGAGAGUACCGGAAGAAUAAGCACCGGCUAACUACGUGCCAGCAGCCGCCGCUGUAA